rnacentral:rRNA from 1 species
UCAAGCGCGUAAGAGCAUUUGGUGGAUGCCUUGGCAUAAAGAGGCGAUGAAGGACGUGACAGACUGCGAUAAGCUCGGACUUGCUGUCAAUAAGCUUAAUCCGAGAUUUCCGAAUGGGGAAACCCAAUAACUUAUAAGUGAAUUCAUAGCUUAUAAGGGCGAACCUAGGGAACUGAAACAUCUAAGUACCUAGAGGAAAAGAUAUUCCGUUAGUAGUGGCGAGCGAAAGCGGAUCAGGCCAGUGCUACUUUUUACUAAACCAGAACUGUAUGGAAAGGCAGGCCAUAGUGAGUGAUAGCCUCGUAUGGGUAGAUAGUAAAAAAUAGACAUGAGUAGGGCGGGACACGUGAAAUCCUGUCUGAAUAUAGGAAGACCACUUCCUAAGCCUAAAUACUACUUUAUGACCGAUAGUGAACCAGUACCGUGAGGGAAAGGCGAAAAGAACCCCUAGCAGGGGAGUGAAAUAGACCCUGAAACCGGAUGCUUACAAGCAGUUGGAGCCUCUUUAUGAGGUGACAGCGUACCUUUUGUAUAAUGGGUCAGCGACUUAAUCUCAUUAGCAAGCUUAAGCCAUUUAGGUGUAGGCGAAGCGAAAGCGAGUCUGAAUAGGGCGAUUUAGUUAAUGGGAUUAGACUCGAAACCGAGUGAUCUAGUCAUGAGCAGGUUGAAAGUGAAGUAAAAUUCACCGGAGGACCGAACCCACUAGCGUUGAAAAGCUACGGGAUGACUUGUGAUUAGGGGUGAAAGGCCAACCAAACUCGGAAAUAGCUAGUUCUCCGCGAAAACUAUUUAGGUAGUGCGUCGUGUGAAUCUUGUCGGGGGUAGAGCACUGAAUGGGCUAGGGGGAAGCAAUUCCUACCAAACCUAAUCAAACUCCGAAUACCGAUAAGUCUGCACGGCAGACAGUCCAUGGGUGCUAAGGUCCUUGGACGAGAGGGAAACAGCCCAGAUCAACAGCUAAGGUCCCCAAAUAAUGAUUAAGUGUGAAAGGGAGUGGGAACUCCAAGACAGCCAGGAGGUUGGCUUAGAAGCAGCCAUCCUUUAAAGAAAGCGUAACAGCUCACUGGUCUAAUUAAGAGAUCCUGCACCGAAAAUGUAACGGGGCUCAAAUCAUUUACCGAAGCUUUGACAAUUACUUUGUAAUUGGGUAGCGGAGCGUUCUGUAAGCCUGUAAAGGUGAUGCGUAAGCAUUGCUGGAGGUAUCAGAAGUGCGAAUGCUGACAUGAGUAACGAUAAGAAAUGUGAAAGACAUUUCCGCCGAAAUCCUAAGGUUUCCUGCGUAAAGCUAAUCUGCGCAGGGUUAGUCGGCCCCUAAGGCGAGGGCGAAAGCCGUAGUCGAUGGGAAGCAGGUUAAUAUUCCUGCACCAGCUGGUAGUGACGGAUGAAGUAAAUUGUAAGUUCUUACUGGAUUGAGCUUGCAGUGAAUUUGUCCCUGGAAAUAGCUCCAGCAUUAGACCGUACCAAAACCGACACAGGUAGGAGGGUAGAGAAUACCAAGGCGCUUGAGAGAACUAUGUUGAAGGAACUCGGCAAAUUACACUUGUAACUUCGGGAUAAAAGUGACCUGCUAUUGGGCAACCAGUAGGAGGUGGCACAGAAGAGGGGGUAGCGACUGUUUACUAAAAACAUAGCACUAUGCAAAGUCGAAAGACGACGUAUAUGGUGUGACGCCUGCCCGGUGCCGGAAGGUUAAUAGGAGGGGUGCAAGCCCUGAAUUGAAGCCCCGGUGAACGGCGGCCGUAACUAUAACGGUCCUAAGGUAGCGAAAUUCCUUGUCGGGUAAGUUCCGACCUGCACGAAUGGCGUAACGAUUUCCCCACUGUCUCCAACAUAGACUCAGUGAAAUUGAAUUCUCGGUUAAGAUGCCGAGUAACCGUGGUUAGACGGAAAGACCCCGUGCACCUUUACUGCAGCUUUGUAUUGGUAUUAGGGAACAGAUGUGUAGCAUAGGUGGGAGACUUUGAAGGAGUGGCGCUAGCCAUUCUGGAGUCACUAGUGAAAUACCACUCUUCUGUUCCUUGAUGCCUAACCAUACACCGUU